rnacentral:ncRNA from 1 species
CCGCGUUCUCAGGGCGGGGUGAAACUCCCCACCGGCGGUAUGCGGCUUCGGCCGCGAGCCCGCGAGCGCCCUCCGCGAGGAGGGGUCAGCAGAUCAGGUGCGAUGCCUGAGCCGACGGUCAUAGUCCGGAUGAAAGAGAACGUGU